rnacentral:lncRNA from 1 species
GUUCAGUUUAUGGUUUAAAACCCUAACGCUGACUGAAUGGAAAAAGUUCAGUUUAGGGUUUAAAACCCUAAUGCUGACUGCAUGGAAAAGCUCAGUUUAGGGUUUAAAACCCUAAUGCUGGCUGAAUGAAAAAGUUCAGUUUAGGGUUUAAAACCCUAAUGCUGGCUGAAUGAAAAAGUUCAGUUUAUGGUUUAAAACCCUAAUGCUGACUGAAUGGAAAAAAUUCAGUUUAGGGUUUAAAACCCUAAUGCUGGCUGAAUGAAAAAGUUCAGUUUAGGGUUUAAAACCCUAAGACUGAUUGAAAGGAAAAGUUCAGUUUAGGGUUUAAAACCCUAACGCUGACUAAAAGGGAAAAGUUCAGUUUAGGGUUUAAAACCCUAAUGCUGACUGCAUGGAAAAGCUCAGUUUAGGGUUUAAAGCCCUAAUGCUGGCUGAAUGAAAAAGUUCAGUUUAGGGUUUAAAACCCUAAGACUGGCUGAAUGAAAAAGUUCAGUUUAGGGUUUAAAACCCUAAUGCUGACUGCAUGGAAAAGCUCAGUUUAGGGUUUAAAACCCUAAUGCUGGCUGAAUGAAAAAGUUCAGUUUAGGGUUUAAAACCCUAAUGCUGAUUGAAAGGAAAAGUUCAGUUUAGGGUUUAAAACCCUAAUGCUAACUGCAUGGAAAAGCUCAGUUUAGGGUUUAAAACCCUAAUGCUGGCUGAAUGAAAAAGUUCAUUUUAGGGUUUAAAACCCUAAGGCUGAUUGAAAGGAAAAGUUCAGUUUAGGUUUUAAAACCCUAAUGCUGACUAAAAGGAAAAAGUUCAGUUUAUGGUUUAAAGCCCUAAUGCUGACUGAAUGGAAAAGUUCAGUUUAUGGUUUAAAGCCCUAAUGCUGACUGAAUGGAAAAGCUCAGUUUAGGGUUUAAAACCCUAAUGCUGGCUGAAUGAAAAAGUUCAUUUUAGGGUUUAAAACCCUAAGGCUGAUUGAAAGGAAAAGUUCAGUUUAGGUUUUAAAACCCUAAUGCUGACUAAAAGGAAAAAGUUCAGUUUAGGGUUUAAAACCCUAAUGCUGACUGCAUGGAAAAGCUCAGUUUAGGGUUUAAAACCCUAAUGCUGGCUGAAUGAAAAAGUUCAGUUUAGGGUUUAAAACCCUAAUGCUGGCUGAAUGAAAAAGUUCAGUUUAUGGUUUAAAACCCUAAUGCUGACUGAAUGGAAAAAAUUCAGUUUAGGGUUUAAAACCCUAAUGCUGACUGAAUGGAAAAGCUUAGUUUAGGGUUUAAAACCCUAAUGCUGGCUGAAUGAAAAAGUUUAGUUUAGGGUUUAAAACCCUAAGGCUGAUUGAAAGGAAAAGUUCAGUUUAGGGUUUAAAACCCUAAUGCUGACUAAAAGGGAAAAGUUCAGUUUAGGGUUUAAAACCCUAAUGCUGACUGCAUGGAAAAGCUCAGUUUAGGGUUUAAAACCCUAAUGCUGGCUGAAUGAAAAAAAUUCAGUUUAGGGUUUAAAACCCUAAUGCUGACUGAAUGGAAAAAGUUCAGUUUAGGGUUUAAAACCCUAAUGCUGACUGGCUGGGGACAAAGUUCGAGAAUACUAACCGACCUCUUUUUUUUUUGAAUUUUCUUGUUUUAGAAGAUAAAAGGGAGUUUCGUGGAAACUUACCUUUCGAGUGAAUUCCUUAUUGCCAAAAUAUUUCUUGUACCCACGUACCUUCUUCUUUGGGCGACACCUGCUUCUUGCACGGUUGUCUUGGAUUAUACCUGUUUCAACUUUUCAGACAAAGAACAAUUGUUAGUUCGGAAAUGACGGUCGGUUCGGUGACCUUGAUCGUUCCCAGUUGCUUUGUUGCGUCUUUAUUUCUAUUGCGAAGUCCCGCCAUUGAUUUGAUUCAAAUGGCGAAACCCUUUAGACUGCUCAGGCUUGUAUUUCCAGAUUCUGUGAUGACUUGCCUCGUAAGGCUCUUUU